rnacentral:lncRNA from 1 species
AACGUUCAGGAACCUCUCGCCUUCAUCAAAUCUUCUACUGACCUGCAGACCCUGCAUCAAAUUGCAAAUAUGAUAAGGGCUUCCGGUAUCCAAUACCCAGGCAGUAGUAUCACAAAUAGAAAAGUUGCAAGGUGUUAUCAUAUAAGUACCUUGCUUCUUCUUUGGCCUGUUCGGGUCCAGUGAGGCAAUGUAUAGAGGACAGUUCCUCUUCCAGUGCCCCUGCUUCUUGCAAAAGAAGCACUCCGCCUGGC